AAGAACUAAGUACUCGGUUUUGAAAAGAAUAUACUUGACUGCAAUUCACUGAAACACUUGACUACAGUUCCGGAGAACAAUUUUUCUUCAAGAGUAUCUUGAUUCACAGUUUGUUGUAAUCGACUUCAGGUCCUUGGGAAACUCAAACCAAGGUGGCAGAAUCGGCUUCGCUUCAAACCGCCGGUACAUUUGUUCACGUGAAGUUUUUGAGGCAAUAGUACUAUACGGUAAGUGCGUUCCUAAAAGUAUGAUAUCGUGCAGCACGUUAGUUAUAUCCAGGCACGGACGAGGAUACGUUUCUUACUCCAAAAAUGCAGCAUUCUAACCUCAGCACCCAAGCUCGGAUGUUAAAAUUGGUGCAGUGCGGCUACUUUAGUGUUUCAACCGACUUCAUUCUCGUUUCCUUCGUUCGCACAACAUGAGAAAUAUUCGAUCCACCUUCUUGGGGCACAUCCACAGAAACAUCUUAGAACGUAUGCGAGGCGGAGAAAUACGUCUGAAAAACGUGUCAAGAAGGAUCUGCGCUACGAAUUAACAUGAAUUCUAAGCACAUUCGUGAUCUACCCUGUAGAUCCGGGCUUUUGUAGAAUAUCUAAGUAUCAGAAGCUCGUCUCUACAGGUAUCUUACGGAUGGGAGACGAAUCAUCUAAUUUUCACCAGAUCGUUCCGUCAUGACCAGUCUCCUCUGCUUAUCACGUCACCUCUCUCGUCAUGCUGUCACCUUGGCUGUGAGAAAGCGAAGAAAACAUCGGAGGGAUUUUUCUCUGGGUUCUGAUUAAACCUGUGAAUUUCAUUCUAAAUUGCAUCGUCA